CGUGAGUAACCUGCCCUGGAGUGGGGAAUAACAGCUGGAAACAGCUGCUAAUACCGCAUAAUGCAGUUGGGCCGCAUGGCUCUGACUGCCAAAGAUUUAUCGCUCUGGGAUGGACUCGCGUCUGAUUAGCUAGUUGGUGGGGCAACGGCCCACCAAGGCGACGAUCAGUAGCCGGACUGAGAGGUUGGCCGGCCACAUUGGGACUGAGACACGGCCCAAACUCCUACGGAAGGCAGCAG
rnacentral:rRNA from 1 species